GCAUCGGUGGUCCAGUGGUAGAAUGCUCGCCUGCCACGCGGGCAGCCCGGGUUCAGUUCCCAGCCGAUGCA
rnacentral:tRNA from 1 species